CGUUGUUCGGAAUUACUGGGCGUAAAGGGCUCGUAGGCGGCCAACUAAGUCAUGCGUGAAAUCCCUCGGCUUAACCGGGGAACUGCGUCUGAUACUGGAUGGCUUGAGUUCGGGAGAGGGAUGCGGAAUUCCAGGUGUAGCGGUGAAAUGCGUAGAUAUCUGGAGGAACACCGGUGGCGAAGGCGGCAUCCUGGACCGAUACUGACGCUGAGGAGCGAAAGCCAGGGGAGCAAACGGG
rnacentral:rRNA from 1 species